rnacentral:rRNA from 1 species
CACGCCGUAAACGAUGAGUACUAGGUGUAGGAGGUAUCGACCCCUUCUGUGCCGCAGUAAACACAAUAAGUACUCCGCCUGGGAAGUACGAUCGCAAGAUUAAAACUCAAAGGAAUUGACGGGGGCCCGCACAAGCAGCGGAGCAUGUGGUUUAAUUCGAAGCAACGCGAAGAACCUUACCUGGACUUGACAUCCCCUGAAUAACUCGUAAUGGAGGAAGCCCUUCGGGGCAGGGAGACAGGUGG